rnacentral:precursor_RNA from 1 species
UGGCAGUGUGGUUAGCUGGUUGUUUAAAUUGCUACAACAGCCAGUAACGACACUGCCU